GACGAACGCUGGCGGCGUGCUUAACACAUGCAAGUCGAGCGGUAAGGCCCCUUCGGGGGUACACGAGCGGCGAACGGGUGAGUAACACGUGAGCAAUCUGCCCAUCACAUCGGGAUAACUCCGGGAAACCGAAGCUAAUACCGAAUACGACCACCUCCGGCAUCGGAUGGUGGUGGAAAGUUCCGGCGGUGAUGGAUGAGCUCGCGGCCUAUCAGCUUGUUGGUGGGGUAACGGCCCACCAAGGCUUCGACGGGUAGCCGGCCUGAGAGGGUGACCGGCCACACUGGGACUGAGACACGGCCCAGACUCCUACGGGAGGCAGCAGUGGGGAAUAUUGGACAAUGGGCGAAAGCCUGACCCAGCAACGCCGCGUGAGGGAUGACGGCCUUCGGGUUGUAAACCUCUUUCAGCAGGGACGAAGCGCAAGUGACGGUACCUGCAGAAGAAGCACCGGCCAACUACGUG
rnacentral:rRNA from 1 species